CAACAUGCAAACUCCUGUCAUUCUGUUC
rnacentral:piRNA from 1 species